rnacentral:lncRNA from 1 species
CCCAACCGACUUCUGGUUCUCGGGAGAGUGUGUGUGAGGGUGCGAGUACUAAAGCAAAAAAAAUAAAAAUAAUUCCACUACUAAUAUAAUGGAUCUGUGUGUGAAUAGAGAAUAUGGAGAGAUAUAAAACCAGGGAGGUAAGAAAAGCUCACGGAAAAGUGUAAAUUAUAAAGAUCACACGGGAAGAGAGGCUUGCCUUUUGAGAUCAGAAACUGUUCCAGUUGCAGUAAAAUUUUUUUUAAAAAAAGGAGGAAAAAAAAAAUAAAAAGACACCCCCCACCCCCCCAAGUGAGAUGCCUUAAUCUCUUUUCCUAAAAUUCUGGUCUCCAGUUUCCAUAUGUGAUAGCUAAUUUGGAGAUGGCUUCCACAGUGAACCAGGGAACAGCCGCAUUCUCAACACAAUCUCUCAUGGUCGGGACCUAGACAGUUAGAGAUUGUAAAAGCCGGGAUGCAACCUUCCGUCUUCGUUCUCGGCUCUGCGGCCUGCGCCAUGAAAAUCCUUUGCUUCGCCAGUUCUCUUCCUUGGGGGGGGGGGGGGGUGUCUCGGGCGCUUUCGUUUCAGACCAGACUUCCCAGUAUUCUGUAAGCCCUUGAUCUCAGCUGAACAGGUGCGGGGGUCUCGCCUUCCAUGGUUUUGCCCCGGCAGCGGCAGCGGCGGCGGCAGCAGGGCGGGCAGGCACGGCGGCGGCGGCGGCGGCGGCGGCGGCGGCGGCAGGACGAGCAGCGGCGGCGGUUAUUGUUGUUGGUGGCGGGGGUAGUGUUGGCGAAGUGGGGGAGGGAGGGGGUUUCUCCCGGAGAAUCGAGGCGGGUUUCCCUCCCCCUAUCUGCAAAGCUCCUGGAAACAAGGGAGCCGGCGUCUUGCUGCAGGAUGGGCCGCCCGCCUGCCCCCCCACUCGCUGCCGGCUCGGCCCCCGGCGGAGGCGCUCCCACCUACUGCAUUACCGGGUGGUGCUGAACUGGACAGCUCCCUGCGCCGCCCGCUCCGCGCGCGCCCCGGCUCGCUGGGCGGCCCGCCAGGAGGGGGGCGCGGGCCGGAGUCCUCCCUCCCUCCGGGGGCGGCAGGGCCGGGGCAGAGCCGGGGGCUGCCUUCCCUCUUUUUACCCCUCUCCCCAAAUCCUAAAAUGAGCGCUCUUCUGGGCUCCCGGAGCUCGGAGGAAGGCGUAGCUAGAGAUAGCUUGCUCCCUCUCCCUCUCCCUCUCUCUCUCUCUCUCUCUCUCUCUCUCUCCUGCCCUCCCCCCUUGGUGUUUCUUCCAGCUCAGCCUCCUUCUCAUUCCAUCUCUACGUGCCCAGAGCUUCAAAUACAACCCUCCCAUCGCAAUCAGAUGGGCACAAAACUUCAAGCAGCCGUUUCUCUGCCUGGAAGCGGUGAAAAUAUAGCCUGGAUGGGAACCAAUGACCGAAUGUGGAGUGCUGGAGGGAAGUCCGUGGUGUGACAGGAGCACAGCAUGGGAAGCGACAGUGAGGGAAGGCUUCAUGGAGGAGGUGACAU